rnacentral:misc_RNA from 1 species
GAUGAAGAACUUAGCGAAAUGCGAUACGUAAUGUGAAUUGCAGAAUUCAGUGAAUCAUCGAAUCUUUGAACGCAUAUUGCGCUCUCUGGUAUUCCGGAGAGCAUGCUUGUUUGAGUAUCAGUAAACACCUCAACUUCCAUAUCUUUUUUGAAAUGGGAGUUGGACUUGAGUGAUCCCAACGCUUUUCCUCACCGAAAAGUGGCGGGUUACUUGAAAUGCAGGUGCAGCUGGACUUUUCUCUGAGCUAUAAGCAUAUCUAUUUAGUCUGCCUAAAAAACAGAUUAUUACCUUUGCUGCAGCUAACAUAAAGGAGAUUAGUUCUUGUGCUGACUGAUGCAGGAUUCACAAAGACAGGCUUCGGCCGACUUUGUAAACUCGAUCUCAAAUCAAGUAAGACUACCCGCUGAACUUAAGCAUAUCAAUAAGCGGAGGA